rnacentral:rRNA from 1 species
AGCUCCAAUAGCGUAUAUUAAAGUUGUUGCAGUUAAAAAGCUCGUAGUUGGAUUUGUGGUUGAGUGGUUCGGUCCGACGCUUGUUGUGUGGGUACCUGAGCCGUUCGUCCAUCCUUGGGUGGAAUCUGUGUGGCAUUAGGUUGUCGUGCAGGGGAUGCCCAUCGUUUACUGUGAAAAAAUUAGAGUGUUCAAAGCAGGCUUAUGCCGUUGAAUAUAUUAGCAUGGAAUAAUGAGAUAGGACCUUGGUACUAUUUUGUUGGUUUGCGCACCGAGGUAAUGAUUAAUAGGGACAGUUGGGGGUAUUCGUAUUCCAUUGUCAGAGGUGAAAUUCUUGGAUUUUUGGAAGACGAACUACUGCGAAAGCAUUUACCAAGGAUGUUUUCAUUAAUCAAGAACGAAA